rnacentral:lncRNA from 1 species
UCUAAAUUAGUUGUUAUUGUAAUUGUUUUGCUCUCCACAAUAUCUAAAUCAGUCUAAAAAAGCUUGACCAGAGUAUUUGUACUUUCUUUUUUUUGCACUCCACAAUCAAUACAUGUCUAAACAGCAGCUAACUAGACCUUAGACUGAAGCUAAAUAACACUAAGCAGUAGCUAACUGCAGGUAAAUAACACUAAGCAGCAGCUGGAGCUGGUUUUGCAGCCGGUCCAUUCGGUCCUAAAAGCUUGACCGAGCUUUCUGUGCUCCGGUCCGGUCCGUGAGAAUCAGCCCGCUGCAGAGCUUGGUCCGGUCCGGUCCGGACCGUGUCCAGGCUGACUCGCGCAACCGCCCUUGCCCCCGCCGCUCGCACCCGCCUACACGCGCCCCCCGCUCGGCCCGUCGCCGCUCGCCCCCGCCCUGAGAGGACGACGCCGACGCCAAGAUCGCGCGCAUCGAGGACGAGAUCAUGCGCCUCUCCUCCUGCCUC